rnacentral:rRNA from 1 species
CAGUCGCCGCGGGAAUACGGAGGGUGCAAGCGUUAAUCGGAAUUACUGGGCGUAAAGCGCACGCAGGCGGUUUGUUAAGUCAGAUGUGAAAUCCCCGAGCUUAACUUGGGAACUGCAUUUGAAACUGGCAAGCUAGAGUCUUGUAGAGGGGGGUAGAAUUCCAGGUGUAGCGGUGAAAUGCGUAGAGAUCUGGAGGAAUACCGGUGGCGAAGGCGGCCCCCUGGACAAAGACUGACGCUCAGGUGCGAAAGCGUGGGGAGCAAACAGGAUUAGAUACCCCAGUAGUCCCUGUCUCUUAUAA